CGGCGGACGGUGAGUAACGCGUGGGUAACCUGCCUUAUACAGGGGGAUAACAGUUAGAAAUGACUGCUAAUACCGCAUAAGCGCACAGUACCGCAUGGUACGGUGUGAAAAACUCCGGUGGUAUAAGAUGGACCCGCGUCUGAUUAGCCAGUUGGCGGGGUAACGGCCCACCAAAGCGACGAUCAGUAGCCGACCUGAGAGGGUGACCGGCCACAUUGGGACUGAGACACGGCCCAAACUCCUACGGAAGGCAGCAG
rnacentral:rRNA from 1 species